AAUAGAUACCCGGUAGUCCACGCCGUAAACGUUGGGCGCUAGAUGUGGGGGCCAUUCCACGGUUUCCGCGUCGUAGCUAACGCAUUAAGCGCCCCGCCUGGGGAGUACGGCCGCAAGGCUAAAACUCAAAGGAAUUGACGGGGGGCCCGCACAAGCGGCGGAGCAUGCGGAUUAAUUCGAUGCAACGCGAAGAACCUUACUAAGGCUUGACAUAUACGAGAACACUACAGAAAUGUAGGACUCUUUGGACACUCGUAUACAGGUGGUGCAUGGUUGUCGUCAGCUCGUGUCGUGAGAUGUUGGGUUAAGUCCCGCAACGAGCGCAACCCUCGUCGCAUGUUGCCAGCACGUAAAGGUGGGAACUCAUGUGAGACUGGCCGGGGUCAACGUCGGAGGAAGGUGGGGAUGGACGUCAAAUCAUCAUGCCCCUUAUGUCUUGGGCUUCACGCACGCUACAAUGGCCGGUACAAAGGGCUGCAAUACCGUAAGGUGGAGCGAAUCCCAAAAAGCCGGUCUCAGUUCGGAUUGAGGUCUGCAACUCG
rnacentral:rRNA from 1 species